rnacentral:rRNA from 1 species
GACGAACGCUGGCGGCGUGCUUAACACAUGCAAGUCGAACGGAAAGGCCCUGCUUUUGUGGGGUGCUCGAGUGGCGAACGGGUGAGUAACACGUGAGUAACCUGCCCUUGACUUUGGGAUAACUUCAGGAAACUGGGGCUCAUACCGGAUAGGAGCUCCUGCUGCAUGGUGGGGGUUGGAAAGUUUCGGCGGUUGGGGAUGGACUCGCGGCUUAUCAGCUUGUUGGUGGGGUAGUGGCUUACCAAGGCUUUGACGGGUAGCCGGCCUGAGAGGGUGAACGGCCACAUUGGGACUGAGAUACGGCCCAGACGCCUACGGGAGGCAGCAGUGGGGAAUAUUGCACAAUGGGCGGAAGCCUGAUGCAGCAACGCCGCGUGCGGGAUGACGGCCUUCGGGUUGUAAACCGCUUUCGCCUGUGACGAAGCGUGAGUGACGGUAAUGGGUAAAGAAGCACCGGCUAACUACGUG